UACAGAGGGGGCAAGCGUUGUUCGGAAUUACUGGGCGUAAAGGGCGCGUAGGCGGCCACCGCAAGUCGACUGUGAAAUCUCCGGGCUUAACCCGGAAAGGUCAGCCGAUACUGCGGGGCUAGAGUGCAGAAGGGGCAACUGGAAUUCUCGGUGUAGCGGUGAAAUGCGUAGAUAUCGAGAGGAACACCUGCGGCGAAGGCGGGUUGCUGGGCUGACACUGACGCUGAUGCGCGAAAGCUAGGGGAGCGAACGGG
rnacentral:rRNA from 1 species